UGGGGAAUCUUCCGCAAUGGACGAAAGUCUGACGGAGCAACGCCGCGUGAACGAUGACGGCCUUCGGGUUGUAAAGUUCUGUUAUACGGGACGAAUGGUACGACGGCCAAUACCCGUCGUAAGUGACGGUACCGUAAGAGAAAGCCACGGCUAACUACGUGCCAGCAGCCGCGGUAAUACGUAGGUGGCAAGCGUUGUCCGGAAUUAUUGGGCGUAAAGGGCGCGCAGGCGGCGUCGUAAGUCGGUCUUAAAAGUGCGGGGCUCAACCCCGUGAGGGGAUGGAAACUGGUCUUCUUGAGUGCAGGAGAGGAAAGCGGAAUUCCUAGUGUAGCGGUGAAAUGCGUAGAUAUUAGGAGGAACACCAGUGGCGAAGGCGGCUUUCUGGACUGUAACUGACGCUGAGGCUCGAAAGCGUGGGGAGCGAACAGGAUUAGAUACCCUGGUAGUCCACGCCGUAAACGAUGAAUGCUAGGUGUAGGAGGUAUCGACCCCUCCUGUGCCGGAGUUAACGCAAUAAGCAUUCCGCCUGGGGAGUACGGCCGCAAGGCUG
rnacentral:rRNA from 1 species